rnacentral:misc_RNA from 1 species
UUUCCGUAGGUGAACCUGCGGAAGGAUCAUUAUUGGAUUUUGAAACUUCAGGCUGCUGCUGGCUCUCCUCGGAGGGCAUGUGCACGCUUGUUGUCCAUUAUUUCUCCCACUGUGCACAAAUUGUAGACCUUUCAGUAGGCCUAUGUUGUUUUUCACAAUCUCUGAAUGUAAUAGAAUGGUUUUGAAUCUUGGGAAAUACAAUACAACUUUCAGCAACGGAUCUCUUGGCUCUCACAUCGAUGAAGAACGCAGC